rnacentral:rRNA from 1 species
AGGGAAGAGCUCAAAUUUGAAAUCUGGCGGCCUACGGUCGUCCGAGUUGUAAUCUAGAGAAGUGUUUUCCGUGCUGGACCGUGUACAAGUCCUUUGGAACAAGGCGUCAUAGAGGGUGAGAAUCCCGUCUACGACACGGACUGCCAGUGCUCUGUGAUACACUCUCAAC